AAAAAAAAGCGGGGCUGGGAGCUCUCUGUACAAACAACACGCCGGAGAGUGAUCAGCCAUGUCAUAAGACAACACUGAAAUCAGACUGAAUCUGUCAUCGGUUCAUAAAUUCAAUCUUUGUCAUUUUUUUCCCCCAGGACUGACCGACACGUAUAUCCACGAAGCCGUGCAUGAACUGGAAAACACUGACGUUUAGCCGAAUAGCUCAUUCAAGACAAAAGCUCCAGCAGGACAGAUAGUAUGCUGAGUAAAGCGGCCACUAUGGAGAUCCCUAUCAACCGUAACGGAGACACGAGGACGCUGGCGGAGGAUGACAGCCUUGAACAAGUUGCUAAGCUACAGUGGAGCUUAGAUGAGAAGGGGCACACGUGCUCCUUGUAAAAAAACAAAACAAGAAGAAAACAAAAAAGACCCACUUUAUUACAGAAUCCUGUGAAAACAAAUCGUAUUUUAGGCUAAAAGAGGGCGACGCCAUAGAGAAUGAUAGAGCACUCUUCUUUGUAUCCGUCCCAUUAUGGUGUCUGUUAGAGCACAGGCAGGGCCAUUUGAGGUCAACUCCAUUUUGAAGUAGUCACUUUUUGUUCUUCUACUAUUUCUAUGAGUUGGUAAACAAACUGAAAAUGUGCGUACUGCCCCCUGGAGGGUGUUGUCUGAACAGGUAUAAAGG